rnacentral:rRNA from 1 species
UUGCUCGGAAUUAUUGGGCGUAAAGCGCAUGUAGGCGGCUUAGCAAGUCCCAUGUGAAAGCCCACGGCUUAACCGUGGAAGUGCAUGGGAAACUGCUGAGCUUGAGUACUUAAGAGGAUCGCGGAAUUCCCGGUGUAGAGGUGAAAUUCGUAGAUAUCGGGAGGAACACCAGUGGCGAAGGCGGCGAUCUGGGAAGAUACUGACGCUGAGGUGCGAAAGCGUGGGGAGCAAACAGG